rnacentral:rRNA from 1 species
AGUGAACGCUGGCGGUAGGCCUAACCCAUGCAAGUCGAACGGCAGCACAGUAAGAGCUUGCUCUUACGGGUGGCGAGUGGCGGACGGGUGAGGAAUACAUCGGAAUCUACUUUUUCGUGGGGGAUAACGUAGGGAAACUUACGCUAAUACCGCAUACGACCUACGGGUGAAAGCAGGGGAUCUUCGGACCUUGCGCGAUUGAAUGAGCCGAUGUCGGAUUAGCUAGUUGGCGGGGUAAAGGCCCACCAAGGCGACGAUCCGUAGCUGGUCUGAGAGGAUGAUCAGCCACACUGGAACUGAGACACGGUCCAGACUCCUACGGGAGGCAGCAGUGGGGAAUAUUGGACAAUGGGCGCAAGCCUGAUCCAGCCAUACCGCGUGGGUGAAGAAGGCCUUCGGGUUGUAAAGCCCUUUUGUUGGGAAAGAAAAGCAGCAGGUUAAUACCCCGCUGUUCCGACGGUACCCAAAGAAUAAGCACCGGCUAACUUCGUG